GCGCCGGUGGUGUAAGGCGAACAUCGCUGCCCGGAAAGCCGAAGAUGCGGGUUCGAGUCCCGCCUGGCGCA
rfam:Heligmosomoides polygyrus genome assembly, scaffold: HPBE_scaffold0000444